CACUUUUCAAAGCCCCGUGAUGUGCAAAUUCCGAUCGCGCAACUUUCCUGUGGUGCACAUUGGGUAAUGCUAAUGCCGACGGUAAAACCUUUUAAUAAGAAAUAGUCAGAUGAAAGUCGUCUAUUUUUAUUAGAUAUCGCAAUUCCUGAAACUGAUACAGCCCAAUGACUUUUUCUACGUGGUAAAAUCGAAUAUCAAAAUUCCCUAAUGGGGAAGCUUUGUUCGCGUAACUACUCAGAUUUGCUUGUGUUAAUGUGAGUCUGGAGUAGUAAAAAUUCGUGGGAAGUCAGUUGUUAGCGAAACUCGGAAUUUUUAUUCUUGCAAUACCCAAUAAACAUUCGGAUGACUUUUGGAGGACUUAACUUUAAGACAUCAAUUAGAGAACUUUGCUCACUCGAGUUUUCCGAACGCAGCUCGAGAGAGGGUACUGCACAACAUAACCUAGAAAAAAUAAAAUAUAAAACUGCAGUCAUCGAGUAUUAAGUAUCGACAGUCAUCGUGUAUAUACGUGAGAUAUUAAUUUAAUAAUAUAAUUAUGUUGAAAAGGAAAAAUGUCGAAGACUGCAUGAAAAAACAUAUCAAAAAGAUUAGAAGCAAAAAUGAUUACCGUUGGAGGCGAUAAUUUCGACAAAGCUAUAAAAAAAUGAUGUCAGUGAUUAUGACCGAUGAGUUAGCAAGUCGAUGUACUUAGAUUAUUAAAAAACCUAACAAAACCAAGAUUUCAAAUUAUAAUUUUCCAAACAUAAUAAGUGCUUAUAUCACGCAAAG